rnacentral:lncRNA from 1 species
UACAGUCGGCGCCGUUCUUAUUCUCGUUCCCGUUCCCCUUAUAGUAGGUCUCCAGAUGACCGCGGCUAUCGGAGGUGUGACCGUUCUUACUCUCCAUAUGACUCCAGAUAUGAUGACCGUUACCAUCGGAGGCGUGAUCGAUCAUACUCUCCAUAUGACUCCAAAUACGAUGACUGUUACUAUCGGAGGCGUGACCGUUCAUACUCUCCAUCUGAGUCAUCGGAUGGCCGAUACUAUGGAAGGCACCGUUAUCGUUCAAUUUCCCGAAGUCCUACACCGCCGCGAAGGAGAAGCUCUAGGAGGAGCUAUUC